GAUGAACGCUGGCGGUAUGCUUAACACAUGCAAGUCGAACGGGAUUCUUCGGAAUCUAGUGGCGGACGGGUGAGUAACGCGUGAGAAUCUGCCUUCAGGUCGGGGACAACAUUUGGAAACGAAUGCUAAUACCCGAUGUGCCGCGAGGUGAAAGGUUAACUGCCUGAAGAUGAGCUCGCGUCCGAUUAGCUAGUUGGUGGUGUAAAGGACUACCAAGGCGACGAUCGGUAGCUGGUUUGAGAGGACAAUCAGCCACACUGGGACUGAGACACGGCCCAGACUCCUACGGGAGGCAGCAGUGGGGAAUUUUCCGCAAUGGGCGAAAGCCUGACGGAGCAAUACCGCGUGAGGGACGAAGGCCUGUGGGGUUGUAAACCCUCUUUUCUCAGGGAAGAAGCUCUGACGGUACCUGAGGAAUCAGCAUCGGCUAACUCCGUGCCAGCAGCCGCGGUAAU
rnacentral:rRNA from 1 species